UUGAGCCGUAUGCGGGGAAAACUCGCACGUACGGUUCUUAGGGGGGAGGGAUCCAGCAAUGGGUUCCUCCUACCCUCC
rnacentral:ncRNA from 1 species